UAGGGAAUAUUGCUUAAUGGGCGAAAGCCUGAAGCAGCAACGCCGCGUGUGCGAUGAAGGCCUUCGGGUUGUAAAGCACUUUUUGGAGGGAUGAGGAAGGACAGUACCUUCAGAAUAAGCCUCGGCUAACUACGUGCCAGCAGCCGCGGUAAAACGUAGGAGGCGAGCGUUAUCCGGAUUUAUUGGGUUUAAAGGGUGCGUAGGCGGAUUAAUAAGUCAGUGGUGAAAACCUUCAGCUUAACUGGAGACUUGCCAUUGAUACUGUUAGUCUUGAGUGUGGUUAAGGUAGGCGGAAUGUGUAAUGUAGCGGUGAAAUGCUUAGAUAUUACACAGAACACCGAUUGCGAAGGCAGCUUACUGAGCCAUAACUGACGCUGAUGCACGAAAGCGUGGGGAGCGAAC
rnacentral:rRNA from 1 species